UCGGGAAUUUUGCGCAAUGGACGAAAGUCUGACGCAGCAACGCCGCGUGAGGGAUGACGGCCUUCGGGUUGUAAACCUCUUUUGUCAGGGAAGAUGAUGACGGUACCUGGCGAAUAAGCCACGGCUAACUACGUGCCAGCAGCCGCGGUAAUACGUAGGUGGCAAGCGUUGUCCGGAUUUACUGGGCGUAAAGAGCGCGCAGGCGGUCGUUCAAGUCGCGUGUGAAAGCCCCCGGCUCAACUGGGGAGGGUCACGCGAUACUGAUCGACUCGAAGGCAGGAGAGGGUAGUGGAAUUCCCGGUGUAGUGGUGAAAUGCGUAGAUAUCGGGAGGGACACCAGUGGCGAAGGCGACUACCUGGCCUGUUCUUGACGCUGAGGCGCGAAGGCUAGGGGAGCAAACGGGAUUAGAUACCCCGGUAGUCCUAGCCGUAAACGAUGGACACUAGGUGUUGGUGGUAUCAACCCCGCCAGUGCCGAAGCUAACGCGUUAAGUGUCCCG
rnacentral:rRNA from 1 species